rnacentral:hammerhead_ribozyme from 1 species
CUACACUGACGAGUCCCAAAUAGGACGAAACGC